CCUCAAAUUUAUUUAUAUAUAGUUGCUAAUUACUAGAAUUUAUUUAUUUUUCAGAAAUCUCUUAAGAAAUAGAGAAGGAGAUAUUUUCAUCAAUAGUCUUGAUUCAAAAUGCAUAAACAUGGUGGAAAGAAAUCUAAACAAUCAAACUCCAAAUCUAGUAGAGAUCACUUACAAAGAACCAGUCAAAGCAUUUCACUUCACGGUGGCUCCAUUGGCCGCCAACCAGAAGCUUCUCCGGCAACGGGGAGCACCAGUCAAUACGGCAAAAACAGCUUCGAGGCUGGGAGCUCUAGCAGGGGCAAGGAAAUGUCGAGGUUGGUGCUGAAUCCGAUCAAGAAUCACAAACCUGAAUCGUACGAGGACAUGAACUUGGAUAUUUCUUCUAUGCUUCUCAGCUCGUUGGAGAUGCACCUUCCGAGUUACAUGCUCGGCGCGUCUCGCAACAACAAAGCUUCAUACAUGCGCGGUAUUUUGCAAGAUUAUGUGCCUCCAGCAUUGCGCUAUAGGGAUCAAAAGCAAAAAGAAUAUAGAGAGAAGAUAAUGUCAAAUUAUCAGCCUCUGCAUCAAGAGUUGUACACUAUUGAUCCCGUAGCAUUCUUUGUACCUGCAUUUCUGAAAGCAAUUAAAGAUAAUACGGAACAAAGCUUUAGAAGUAUAAUGUCUGAACCUGCCCCAGGCAUUUUUACAUUUGAAAUGCUUCAACCACGUUUUUGUGAGUUACUGAUAACUGAGGUUGAACAUUUUGAGAAGUGGGCUGACAGAACAAAACUCCAUGUAAUGCGUCCCAAUACGAUGAAUCAAUAUGGUGCUGUACUUGAUGACUUUGGCCUUCAAACUAUGCUCAAGAAGCUUAUGGAAGAUUUUAUUUCUCCAUUGUCAAAAGUGUUCUAUGCAGAAGUUGGUGGAUCAACCCUGGAUUCUCACCACGGGUUUAUUGUUGAGUACGGUUCACAUAGAGAUGUUGAUAUGGAAUUCCAUGUGGAUGACUCUGAAGUUACCUUAAAUGUUUGCCUGGGUAGGCAAUUUUCUGGAGGAGAGUUGUAUUUUCGGGGAAUGCGAUGUGAUAAACAUUUAAAUACAAUGGGUCAUUCAGAGGAGAUCUUUGAUUACUCGCAUGUUCCUGGUUGUGCUGUGCUUCAUCAUGGUCGUCAUCGCCAUGGUGCCAGAGCCACAAUUGCUGGUCAUCGGGUCAACCUACUUCUGUGGUGCAGAAGUUUUUCGAGAAAUGCAAAAGUUUAGAAGAGGCUUCUCUAGCUGGUGUGUGGAGUGCAAUCAAGAGAAGAAAGCCCAGAAAGAUAAGCUGAUCACUACCGGAAUGGAACUGUUGAUGAGGUAAGGUGAAGCAACUGUAUAUUCUGUUGUGUACAGCUGAUCAGUGGAAGUAAAUGGUAGAAAAAUAAGGGCAGACUUCGGUUCAGUUAAAUUUGUUCAAAAUGCCUUUUAUUGAGAGGAGUUUAUGAAAACAUGCAUAUGUGUUGCAAUGUGGAGAUGGCAGAAUUCAUCAAACAUAACUUUUGUAAAACAUAACGUUUGGAUCCGCGUUCGCAAAUCAAAUCUCAUGUCCUGAUGCAUGUUCAAUAAGAAAUUCCUGAAGUUACAAUAUGAAGCUUUGGCGUUGCAGUGCUAUUAUUUCACUGCAAUUCUAUGAAAAUCAAACGCCUGAGUGACAAAGUAUGGUAAAGUAAGAUAUGGUGCAGAAACUCUGAUAAGAUCUCAUGAGCUUGUGUGAUCCAAUAUUCUAAAUUCAAACUGAGUUAUUUAUUGAAGUA